rnacentral:tRNA from 1 species
CCUGGUGGCUCAGAGGGUAAAGCGUCUGCCUGCAAUGCAGGAGACCUAGGUUCGAUCCCUGGGUCAGGA